rnacentral:rRNA from 1 species
GACGAACGCUGGCGGCGUGCUUAACACAUGCAAGCCGAGCGAUGAAAGCCUUAUGAACUAUUCGUAGUGAUUGGGGCCGGAUUAGCGGCGGACGGGUAAGUAACGCGAGAGCAACCUGCCUUAAACAACGGGAUAGCCUCGGGAAACCGGGAUUAAUACCGUAUGAGACCCCGCCUUCACAUGAAGAAGAGGUUAAAGAUUUAUCGGUUUAAGAUGGGCUCGCGUCUGAUUAGCUAGUUGGUGAGAUAAAAGCCCACCAAGGCAACGAUCAGUAACCGGCUUGAGAGAGUGAACGGUCACAUUGGAACUGAGACACGGUCCAAACUCCUACGGGAGGCAGCAGUGGGGAAUAUUGCACAAUGGGGGAAACCCUGAUGCAGCGACGCCGCGUGAGCGAUGAAGGAAUUCGUUUCGUAAAGCUCUGUCCAAGGGGAAGAUAAUGACAGUACCCUUGGAGGAAGCCCCGGCUAAAUACGUGCCAGCCGCCGCGGUAAUAC